UCGAGAAUUUUUCUCAAUGGGCGCAAGCCUGAAGGAGCGACGCCGCGUGGGGGAUGAAGGGUUUCGAUCCGUAAACCCCUGUCAUUCGUGAACAAUGCUUCAUCAUGAACAAUGGUGAAGUUGAUAGUAGCGGAAGAGGAAGGGACGGCUAACUCUGUGCCAGCAGCCGCGGUAAUACAGAGGUCCCGAGCGUUGUUCGGAUUCACUGGGCGUAAAGGGUGCGUAGGUGGCAUGGCAAGUUUGAUGUGAAAGCUCAGGGCUUAACCCUGAAAUGGCAUUGAAUACUGCUGUGCUGGAGGUUUGGAGGGGGGACUGGAAUUCUCGGUGUAGCAGUGAAAUGCGUAGAUAUCGAGAGGAACACCAGUGGCGAAGGCGAGUCCCUGGACAACACCUGACACUGAGGCACGAAAGCCGGGGGAGCAAA
rnacentral:rRNA from 1 species